GCCAUAGCUCACUGGUAGAGAAUCUGUCUUCCAUGCAGGAAGUCACAGGUUAAAUCCCUGGUAUCACCA